AAUAUUCUUCGGGGCAGGGUGUAAUUCCCUACCGGCGGUAAAGUCCGCGAGCCAUUUUGGUUGAUAUGGUGUGAUUCCAUAACCGACAGUUAAAGUCUGGAUGAGAGAAGAAUUAU
rnacentral:ncRNA from 1 species